rnacentral:snRNA from 1 species
AUCGCUUCUCGGCCUUUUGGCUAAGAUCAAAGUGUAGUAUCUGUUCUUUACGGCUUAAUCUCCGUAACGACCCCUACCGGGGUCAAAAGAGAUUAACCAAUUUUUGGAAAAUGGNUUUUUU